ACUGCGUACCUUUUGUAUAAUGGGUCAGCGACUUAUAUUCUGUAGCAAGGUUAACCGAAUAGGGGAGCCGAAGGGAAACCGAGUCUUAACUGGGCGUUAAGUUGCAGGGUAUAGACCCGAAACCCGGUGAUCUAGCCAUGGGCAGGUUGAAGGUUGGGUAACACUAACUGGAGGACCGAACCGACUAAUGUUGAAAAAUUAGCGGAUGACUUGUGGCUGGGGGUGAAAGGCCAAUCAAACCGGGAGAUAGCUGGUUCUCCCCGAAAGCUAUUUAGGUAGCGCCUCGUGAAUUCAUCUCCGGGGGUAGAGCACUGUUUCGGCAAGGGGGUCAUCCCGACUUACCAACCCGAUGCAAACUGCGAAUACCGGAGAAUGUUAUCACGGGAGACACACGGCGGGUGCUAACGUCCGUCGUGAAGAGGGAAACAACCCAGACCGCCAGCUAAGGUCCCAAAGUCAUGGUUAAGUGGGAAACGAUGUGGGAAGGCCCAGACAGCCAGGAUGUUGGCUUAGAAGCAGCCAUCAUUUAAAGAAAGCGUAAUAGCUCACUGGUCGAGUCGGCCUGCGCGGAAGAUGUAACGGGGCUAAACCAUGCACCGAAGCUGCGGCAGCGACGCUUAUGCGUUGUUGGGUAGGGGAGCGUUCUGUAAGCCUGUGAAGGUGUGCUGUGAGGCAUGCUGGAGGUAUCAGAAGUGCGAAUGCUGACAUAAGUAACGAUAAAGCGGGUGAAAAGCCCGCUCGCCGGAAGACCAAGGGUUCCUGUCCAACGUUAAUCGGGGCAGGGUGAGUCGACCCCUAAGGCGAGGCCGAAAGGCGUAGUCGAUGGGAAACAGGUUAAUAUUCCUGUACUUGGUGUUACUGCGAAGGGGGGACGGAGAAGGCUAUGUUGGCCGGGCGACGGUUGUCCCGGUUUAAGCGUGUAGGCUGGUUUUCCAGGCAAAUCCGGAAAAUCAAGGCUGAGGCGUGAUGACGAGGCACUACGGUGCUGAAGCAACAAAUGCCCUGCUUCCAGGAAAAGCCUCUAAGCAUCAGGUAACAUCAAAUCGUACCCCAAACCGACACAGGUGGUCAGGUAGAGAAUACCAAGGCGCUUGAGAGAACUCGGGUGAAGGAACUAGGCAAAAUGGUGCCGUAACUUCGGGAGAAGGCACGCUGAUAUGUAGGUGAAGUCCCUCGCGGAUGGAGCUGAAAUCAGUCGAAGAUACCAGCUGGCUGCAACUGUUUAUUAAAAACACAGCACUGUGCAAACACGAAAGUGGACGUAUACGGUGUGACGCCUGCCCGGUGCCGGAAGGUUAAUUGAUGGGGUCAGCGCAAGCGAAGCUCUUGAUCGAAGCCCCGGUAAACGGCGGCCGUAACUAUAACGGUCCUAAGGUAGCGAAAUUCCUUGUCGGGUAAGUUCCGACCUGCACGAAUGGCGUAAUGAUGGCCAGGCUGUCUCCACCCGAGACUCAGUGAAAUUGAACUCGCUGUGAAGAUGCAGUGUACCCGCGGCAAGACGGAAAGACCCCGUGAACCUUUACUAUAGCUUGACACUGAACAUUGAGCCUUGAUGUGUAGGAUAGGUGGGAGGCUUAGAAGUGUGGACGCCAGUCUGCAUGGAGCCGACCUUGAAAUACCACCCUUUAAUGUUUGAUGUUCUAACGUUGACCCGUAAUCCGGGUUGCGGACAGUGUCUGGUGGGUAGUUUGACUGGGGCGGUCUCCUCCUAAAGAGUAACGGAGGAGCACGAAGGUUGGCUAAUCCUGGUCGGACAUCAGGAGGUUAGUGCAAUGGCAUAAGCCAGCUUGACUGCGAGCGUGACGGCGCGAGCAGGUGCGAAAGCAGGUCAUAGUGAUCCGGUGGUUCUGAAUGGAAGGGCCAUCGCUCAACGGAUAAAAGGUACUCCGGGGAUAACAGGCUGAUACCGCCCAAGAGUUCAUAUCGACGGCGGUGUUUGGCACCUCGAUGUCGGCUCAUCACAUCCUGGGGCUGAAGUAGGUCCCAAGGGUAUGGCUGUUCGCCAUUUAAAGUGGUACGCGAGCUGGGUUUAGAACGUCGUGAGACAGUUCGGUCCCUAUCUGCCGUGGGCGCUGGAGAACUGAGGGGGGCUGCUCCUAGUACGAGAGGACCGGAGUGGACGCAUCACUGGUGUUCGGGUUGUCAUGCCAAUGGCACUGCCCGGUAGCUAAAUGCGGAAGAGAUAAGUGCUGAAAGCAUCUAAGCACGAAACUUGCCCCGAGAUGAGUUCUCCCUGACUCCUUGAGAGUCCUGAAGGAACGUUGAAGACGACGACGUUGAUAGGCCGGGUGUGUAAGCGCAGCGAUGCGUUGAGCUAACCGGUACUAAUGAACCGUGAGGCUUAACCUUACAACGCCGAAG
rnacentral:rRNA from 1 species